GGGGAUAUAGCUCAGUUGGUAGAGCGCCGCUCUUGCAA
rnacentral:tRNA from 1 species